CAUGGGCAGAGCUCUGCAAAGGCCAAAACACCGAAUGCGUUGUCGCCAGCAUCUGUCACUCCGACCUAAUAACAUCCCGGCCUACGUAUCUGUCAAACUUUGGGAGCCCCAGAUUUGGGGACUUCCAUAUUAAGACCUAAAGUGUCUAGCUUACUGCAUGCUUACUAAGAAGCAGGCAAGAGUAAAUCCAGCAAUUUCUAAUUUUUCCUGGCUAAAAUCUGCCCCUUAAGUACAAGACGUGUAAGGACCCAGGUGUAAGACGCCCAAACAGAAAUUUGGACACAAAUUUCAGCAACACAAAUGCCCCACUACAACUUCAAACUUCACAUCUUUCAAAACCGUGUAAUAACGGGCAGAGUCUGGUUUUAUCUGGGCGGCAGAAUAAGGUGUUCUAACCAACCAAUCACUGUGGGUCACAUCACCCCGUGGAUCAUAUCACACAUCACGACACAUUAAUAGCAAGUAUAAUCUAGCUUUUGCUAAAUGGAGACUAAAGGUUUUGUAAUUUCUCAGAAUUUUUGUGGAAAAUACUGAUUUCAUUAAUGUAUUAUAGUUCUUGAGGGGGUUGCGUGUGUGCGCAUGCGUGGAAGCGAGACGUGAACUAUGAAGUGUCUUCAUCUCACUCUUUAAGACAUCGUCAUCUAUUGAACCUGAAUCUGGCACUCACAGAUUCUUCUAGACUCUGGGGGGAUCCGCCCUUCUCUAGCCUUCCAAGCCUAGGGUUACUUUUGUUAAGUGCUGGGGUCUGCAUUUAUGCCCUUAUGCUUCAGGGGCAGGCAUUUUACUGACUGGGCCAUCUCUCAGGCCUAAAUUCUUAAUUUAGUUCUUAAUUAAAACCUCGUCCGGUUCGUUCAGUAAAAAUUCAAUGUCUGAAAAUAACGGAAUUUUCGAACUUUGUGCCCCACCCGUCUUUUAAAAAAAAAAAAAUCUCGUCUCCAUUGUAAAUACAUCAAAUCAAAUGCCUUAACCUUUAAACCAUCUCUCCUUUUUUCCUCGACCCUCGUCCACUGAAUAUUACUGCUUUCCUUGUCAGCGCCUCACAAUAUUUUAGGCCCUGUCUUUUGAGUACACCUUGUGUAUGUAUCUCCAGUGGCAUUGCUGGCUGUUGGAAGUUGGUUCUGUGUGGAUGUUUUGAAUUAUCCGGAAAUCUUAAAAGUUAGUUUGAGGGGUAUAUCGCUUUGGCCUCUGAACUUAGCUGUGGUAUUGGAUCUGAGUGCACCUAGCUUCCGUUGUUCUCGGAUGAGCCUAUCUGUCUGGGGUUUCUCCGCGCUCCUCGACAUUCGUUUUCGGUUAGAUAACGACACUAGCGGGCAACAGCCCGAGGAAUCGGACCCACUGCCCUGGCUGCUUAGACUGUGAGCCUCUCAAAGCCCGCGAUCAAUGUUAAAGUCCCUUAUUUAAAAUGCCACUCCGAAACCUAGUUACCCGUCCGUUACCAGGGCCUCCGGAGCUGCAGAUGCUCAAGGAUGUUGACAGGGCAGCUAGGAUUUACCUGCCGGAGGCCCAGUCGCUAUGGUAACGGCUAGCCGCAAAUGCGCUUGCGCGGAAACCCUGCGUCGUAAAGAAACAAGGGCAUUACGACAUUGGCGACUUGCGGCAGCGACUUGACUUAAGGCCGCCCCCCGUAGCGCGUCGUUGGGCUCGAAUGCUAAGGCGGGAGUGCGAGCGGGAGUACGAGCGGGAAUGCUCCUGCUAGUCCGCCCGGCGGAAUGACCCAGUCGGUGGUCGUACAGGUCGGACAGUGCGGGAACCAGAUCGGCUGCUGCUUCUGGGACCUGGCACUGAGGGAGCAUGCCGCGGUCAACCAGAAAGGAAUUUAUGACGAUGCAAUAAGCAGCUUCUUCAGGAAUGUGGAUACCAGAGCGGUUGGGGAUUGUGGCAGCAUUUCCAAAGGAAGGAUAUCCUCUUUGAAAGCACGGGCUGUUUUGAUUGACAUGGAAGAAGGAGUGGUGAAUGAAAUUCUCCAGGGCCCACUGAGGGACGUGUUUGAUAGCAAACAGCUCAUCACAGACAUCUCUGGCUCAGGAAAUAACUGGGCUGUGGGUCACAAAGUUUUUGGAAGUCUUUACCGGGAACAGAUUCUAGAGAAACUCCGGAAGUCGGCAGAGCACUGCGAUUGCCUACAGUGCUUCUUCAUCAUCCACUCCAUGGGAGGAGGAACAGGCUCUGGACUUGGCACAUUUCUGUUAAAGGUGCUUGAAGACGAGUUCCCAGAAGUGUACCGGUUUGUGACAGCGGUUUACCCUUCCAGCGAGGACGAUGUCAUCACCUCGCCUUACAACAGCAUGUUGGCCAUGAAGGAGCUCAGUGAGCACGCUGACUGCGUGCUACCCAUCGACAACCAAUCUUUAUUUGACAUCAUUAGCAAAAUCGAUCUUGUGGUAAAUUCUGGAAAGUUGGGCUCAGCUGUGAAGCCUAAGAGUCUCAUUACUUCGAACACGGGGCCCGUUAAAAAGCGCCACAAGAAACCCUUCGACGCCAUGAACAACAUUGUGGCGAAUCUGCUCCUCAGCCUGACAAGCUCUGCGAGGUUCGAGGGCUCCCUGAAUAUGGACCUGAAUGAGAUCAGCAUGAACUUGGUGCCCUUCCCACAGCUUCAUUAUCUCGUGUCGAGCCUGACACCGCUGUACACGCUGGCGGAUGUUAACAUUCCUCCCCGGAGACAAGAUCUCUCUGAGAAGCCCUGGCUGUCCUGGAACUCACUCUGUAGACCAGGCUAGCCUCAAGCUCACAGAGAUCCACCUGUCUCCCAAGUGGUGGGAUUUGCCACCACCACCCAGCGAUUGGAUCAGAUGUUUUCAGACGCCUUUAGUAAAGGCCACCAGCUCCUCCAAGCAGACCCCAGACAUGGUCUCUAC